rnacentral:rRNA from 1 species
CCCAUGUGUCCGGGAUAACUGCUGGAAACGGUAGCUAAAACCGGAUAGGUAUACAGAGCGCAUGCUCAGUAUAUUAAAGCGCCCAUCAAGGCGUGAACAUGGAUGGACCUGCGGCGCAUUAGCUAGUUGGUGAGGUAACGGCCCACCAAGGCGAUGAUGCGUAGCCGGCCUGAGAGGGUAAACGGCCACAUUGGGACUGAGACACGGCCCAAACUCCUACGGGAGGCAGCAGUAGGGAAUUUUCGUCAAUGGGGGGAACCCUGAACGAGCAAUGCCGCGUGAGUGAAGAAGGUCUUCGGAUCGUAAAGCUCUGUUGUAAGUGAAGAACGGAUCAUAGAGGAAAUGCUAUGGGAGUGACGGUAGCUUACCAGAAAGCCACGGCUAACUACGUGCCAGCAGCCGCGGUAAUACGUAGGUGGCAAGCGUUAUCCGGAAUCAUUGGGCGUAAAGGGUGCGUAGGUGGCGUACUAAGUCUGUAGUAAAAGGCAAUGGCUCAACCAUUGUAAGCUAUGGAAACUGGUAUGCUGGAGUGCAGAAGAGGGCGAUGGAAUUCCAUGUGUAGCGGUAAAAUGCGUAGAUAUAUGGAGGAACACCAGUGGCGAAGGCGGUCGCCUGGUCUGUAACUGACACUGAGGCACGAAAGCGUGGGGAGCAAAUAGGAUUAGAUACCCUAGUAGUCCACGCCGUAAACGAUGAGAACUAAGUGUUGGAGGAAUUCAGUGCUGCAGUUAACGCAAUAAGUUCUCCGCCUGGGGAGUAUGCACGCAAGUGUGAAACUCAAAGGAAUUGACGGGGGCCCGCACAAGCGGUGGAGUAUGUGGUUUAA